AGAAUCAACGCUGGCGGCGUGCCUAACACAUGCAAGUCGAACGGGAAAGUGGAGCAAUCCAUGAGUAUAGUGGCGACCGGGUGAGUAACACGUGACUAACCUACCAUUGAGUGGGGGAUAACCUCGGGAAACCGGGGCUAAUACCGCAUAACAUCUUCGGGAUGAGAAGCUGAAGAUCAAAGGAGCAAUUCGCUUUCGGAGGGGGUCGCGGCUGAUUAGCUAGUUGGCGGGGUAACGGCCCACCAAGGCUUUGAU
rnacentral:rRNA from 1 species